rnacentral:rRNA from 1 species
CAUGUCUAAGUAUAAGCAAUUAUACGGCGAAACUGCGAAUGGCUCAUUAUAUAAGUUAUCGUUUAUUUGAUAGUACCUUACUACUUGGAUAACCGUGGUAAUUCUAGAGCUAAUACAUGCUAAAAAUCCCGACUUCGGAAGGGAUGUAUUUAUUAGAUUAAAAACCAAUGCCCUUCGGGGCUCCUUGGUGAUUCAUGAUAACUUCGCGAAUCGCAUGGCCUUGCGCCGGCGAUGGUUCAUUCAAAUUUCUUCCCUAUCAACUUUCGAUGUUUGGGUAUUGGCCAAACAUGGUUGCAACGGGUAACGGAGGGUUAGGGCUCGACCCCGGAGAAGGAGCCUGAGAAACGGCUACUACAUCCAAGGAAGGCAGCAGGCGCGCAAAUUACCCAAUCCCGACACGGGGAGGUAGUGACAAUAAAUACUGAUACAGGGCUCUUUAGGGUCUUGUAAUUGGAAUGAGUACAAUUUAAAUCCCUUAACGAGGAACAAUUGGAGGGCAAGUCUGGUGCCAGCAGCCGCGGUAAUUCCAGCUCCAAUAGCGUAUAUUAAAGUUGUUGUGGUUAAAAAGCUCGUAGUUGAACCUUGGGCCUGGCUGGCCGGUCCGCCUCACCGCGUGCACUGGUCCGGCCGGGCCUUUCCCUCUGUGGAACCCCAUGCCCUUCACUGGGCGUGGCGGGGAAACAGGACUUUUACUUUGAAAAAAUUAGAGUGCUCCAGGCAGGCCUAUGCUCGAAUACAUUAGCAUGGAAUAAUAAAAUAGGACGUGCGGUUCUAUUUUGUUGGUUUCUAGGACCGCCGUAAUGAUUAAUAGGGACAGUCGGGGGCAUCAGUAUUCAAUUGUCAGAGGUGAAAUUCUUGGAUUUAUUGAAGACUAACUACUGCGAAAGCAUUUGCCAAGGAUGUUUUCAUUAAUCAGGAACGAAAGUUAGGGGAUCGAAGACGAUCAGAUACCGUCGUAGUCUUAACCGUAAACGAUGCCGACUAGGGAUCGGACGGUGUUAUUACUUGACCCGUUCGGCACCUUACGAGAAAUCAAAGUGCUUGGGCUNCAGGGGGAGUAUGGNCGC